UACGGAGGGGGCUAGCGUUGUUCGGAAUUACUGGGCGUAAAGCGCACGUAGGCGGCUUUGUAAGUUAGAGGUGAAAGCCCGGGGCUCAACUGCGGAAUUGCCUUUAAGACUGCAUCGCUAGAAUUGUGGAGAGGUAAGUGGAAUUCCGAGUGUAGAGGUGAAAUUCGUAGAUAUUCGGAAGAACACCAGUGGCGAAGGCGGCUCACUGGCCCGGUACUGACGCUGAGGUGCGAAAGCGUGGGGAGCAAACAGG
rnacentral:rRNA from 1 species